GGCUUUUGUAAAUGAGGAUAAAACUACUCUCUCCAGCUGCAUACAAAUGGGAGAGCUUCUCACACAUUAAAAUGGAACUGGGACUUUCAAGUACUUCACUCAAUAUGCAGAAAAUGAUACUGGAUGUUGACAGCUUUUCUCCAAAAAGAAGACAGCUGUGGGGGUCCUUUUAUUAGAUUGCAUAAAGAAUCCUGAAGUGAAGUUUUCCCAAGUAAAUAGGCAAACAGUCAAUAAAACAAUCAAGCACUGUUUUUAUUUUGCUGUUCAGUAUGAAGUUUGUUACAUUUCCAGCAAAUAAUACACAAAACCAAUCCUUUUUUAGGACUGUGGGAAGUACUCGCAUAUGACAAAUGGUGAUUGGUAUAUAGAUGUGCUGAGCUGGUAAUGUCUGUGUUCUCCAGGGCCUGUGAAUCAUCUGACAGUGCCAGGGUGAUGUUCAAGUAGAACAAUAUUUUCCUUUUCCAUUUAGGAACUUCCUGCCUGCUGCCCUAGAAACAGGACAGACAAAUCUCCUUAAAAUUAGAAAUGACCCCCUGUGAAACCAUAAAUCCUGUCCAUUCCCAUCCUCUUUCUGUUUCCCUGUAUGAACUAUAUAUAUUGCCCCUAUUUUUAUACAUGCACCCUAAGCAGUGAGCUAAAUUCUGGGUUCAAAUGGAAUUAUGUGCUAGCUUCUAGCUUACUUGAAACUGCGUUAUCCCCAUCUCUCCUUGGCUGGGAUCUGUCUCUGAAGUGGUAGACGCUGUGCUCUGAGCCAAGAAAGGGAUGGAGGAGGCAUUGUCCUGGCAAGCACUGGGCUGCGUGCGUGUCCUCUGGUGAGGAGAGAAACUUUCCGCUGCGCUGCCCCUCCAGCUUCCUCAAGAGCAACCAUGGUGAGUGCUUCCAGGGGCCAACUCAUCAGCCCAGGUGCUGAAUCAGCCCAAGAAUUUUUAGCUACAGGAGAAAAAUGGAUCACACCAGAGGACUUUCUCCUUGAAGAGAACUUCACCCUGUUCUAAUCAGAGAUGCAAAUUAUGGAGGUACUCCGGGCUCCUUUAACCAUUCUCAGCAUCUUAUUGCAAUAAGAAUUGGAAUUCAUGGUCAAGCACUUUUCAUCUUAGGCAAAAUCAUAGUUAACCCUUUGAUGUGAUUAAAGUAUGUAGGGAGAUCUCCCAGACUUCCAUCUCCUGGAUAAGAUAAGCAAGGAAACCACAGUAUGCCUUAGGAGAAAGAGAAGCUUUCCAGCUUCCAGCUGUCUCCUGCCCAUUUCCAGAUGCUCACUUGAGCUGUAGGAGUUGUGGACCAAUUUCACCAACAGAUGAGAGUACCUCAGAACUUUUCAUACUCUUGGGCCCAACUGACCCUCUAAAAAUCAGGACCAAGGAUAGGAUACUGAGCUUUAAAUCCAGGGCUUUAAGGCCUUAACUGUUGAUUAGAACACAGAACCAUCCUUCCACUAUAGAGAAGUUCCUCACCAUGAGUAAUUCUUCAUUAUCAUCACUUAUUUCCUAAUUGCUUUUGCUUUGCAGUCUGACUUAUAUUAUCAUGAAAUGAAUUACAUUGUAUAACCACUGCUACCAAACUCUUCAACCAUAUGUUGUCAGUCAUACUUUUUCUUCUCGUCAUUGCAUUACUGUCAUGCUCUAAGCUGUUUAUGAGUUUUGAAAUAUGAAAUUUUGGUCUUGCUCAGUUUUAAGAUAACCCUGCUGCUUAAAUGAAGGAAUAUCACAUUUACCAUACAGAGAGAUUUAUUUAAAAGCCAACUGUGAAUUACACGGAGGAAUCUGCAGUAAACCAUGACAAUAAAUAAUGAGAGGAUGUUUGCCUGGAGGACUUGUCCCUAAUGAGGUUUGGUCUUAAAUAGGCAUUCUGUUUGGAAAUCAGAUACCUUUUGUUUCUUGAGGUUUUCAUGUUUCUCCCUAUUAAGUGGGGUUUUCUGAGAGAUUUGUUAGUAAUGGGGUCAGUAAUGGUUACACUUUACAGGAAAAUGUGUGACUAUGAAAAUACUUGGGGGGGUUGGGGGGGGGGAAGGGAAGGAAGUGGAAAAUAAUAAUGUUAGGUCCUAUUCAUGUACAAGUCCAAUUUCUGAUAUUUAUUUGCUUGUUUAUAACCUAAAAAUCUUAUCAAGACAGCACAGUUGUUUUGGAAGGAGGCAAACCCAAGAAUUCUAAAAAUGAGAUUAUAUUGUUAAGUAAAAACCUAUUAUUAGGGUUCAUAUUUCUACUCUGAAGUGCACCUCCUUAUAUUGUUACAGUCUUGUGUAGGAGCUGUUCUCAAACAGUCUUUCUGGAGACUUAUUUGCUGAAUGCUUCUGAGAUACCAGAAGGUAAACAGAUAGCCUGGAAAAGGGAUAGGAAAGUUACCAGAUCUCAGAAUUCUCCUGUAAACAAAUUCCCACCGAUUAAAAGGUAGCUGGAGUAUAUGGAAGGCCACAAUUAUCAAAAAGCAGUAUGUUUGGCAGACAGUUUUGGUUGGAUCUUUCAAGCUACAUUUACCUCCACCUUGAUUUCUAAUAACUAUCAUCUGGGAUGAAGUUCUCCUCUGCUCAUUAGUAGCUUGUUCCUAUACUGGGCAGAACUCCCCUUAAAAAUAGAGGAAAGAGGGGAAUAAUACUGUUAAACACCUAAAUUAAAUAAGCCCUCUCAUGAUCUAAAGCAGCCCAACCAUUUACUUACUGCAGUGAGCAGUAUGUCCUCAAGUUAAGGAGAAUGACAAUGGAAAAAUCUUUACCUCAGCUGCACAUCUGAUAGCCCUGAGGCAGAAAACAGGUUUGAAAAGCAUCUAACCAGUAGCCGUGCAGUGUCUGGCUAUUCAGGUGGUACAUGAUUUGGCAGCCAAGUUAAAUUCAAGAAAAAAAAAUUGCUCCUCACCUUUGGCAACAUCUGCUUGAGUGACAAAGUGAGAGAUCAGUCGCUCUGCACUCCAAAACCUAGUUUUAUUUCUGACUUGCAUUCAUUGUGCUUGGUCACUGUGCUUUGCACUAACCCAACUGCUUGAACCUCUCACAGUGCAAGCAACUUGAUACUGCAAUACUCCAACAAAAGAUUGAAAGAGAAUGCAGCAAGCUUAACACAUCCCUCUGAUUACUCUAUAAGGGGGAGUUAGAUUCUUAAAAAAAAAAAAAAAAUCCCUGGUGGCCUUACUGUUUUCCAGGCAUCUUUCUAGAUAAACUUUUCCUAUGGUAAAAUCAUUACAAAGUAGAAAUACAGUCUCUCCAAGGGCUACCUUGAAAACCUAGUCUAAUAUAAAGAGCUAUAACACAGUAAUGAAUCCUGUAGGCAAAAUAGGGCUUGUUUUGACCAGCUUUAUCAAGUGAAGAAAUGGGAGAAAACUUUCCAUUAGGAGAAUGUUAUUUUUGACUGAACUAUAUUUUGGGAUGUUACAAAGCCAAGGUCUCUCAGAAGGCUGGAGCCCAAAGUCUAAACUGAAAAACACUUGAACUUUUUGAAAUGUGAGCUCUUACCUGCGUUGUAUUUUUGAAAAGGUAGUGCUGAGAAUGCUGAUGUUUGAAUCUCUCUGAAAUUUAAAUCUGGAGCUAGUUUCAAUUUUUGCCUCUUCAUGGCAGCUGCAGCAUUUUUCUGCUUUCAUUCCCUUAGAGGCUGUUGCAGGGUGCACGUUCUGUGAUAAAGGAGGCUGUGAGUAUUUUACUGCUACAAAGGAAGGAUGUCCCUUCCCAGUCACCUGCAGCUACAUCAGGGCCUCCGAUAGGUGACAAAAUAACAAAUAUACCUCCACCAGAGAAGCAUGAAGGGAAUCCAGGCUAAUAUGACCUCACAGAUCUCUGAAAAUACUUACUGGGAAUUUUUAUAUGUAAGGAUAACACAAAGUGAAGCCCCUCCUAAAAGAAAACUUGAAAGCAGCCAGUGGGGUAGAAAGGGGGUGAGGAAAAAAACUAAUUCUUAGUCAAAAAAGCAAAUUUCUUUUUGAGAGCAAGACAAAACAGAUAGCUAAGGAAGAGAUUAGCAAGCAUACAGAAGGAUAUACACAGUACUGAAAAGUGGAGACACCUACAAAAAUAUUCUUUACCUUCUUAAGAUGCAAUCGUAACUAUUUGUAAAAUGGAUUUGAGACUAACAAUGCAGCUUAUUCCUCGUGUAAGAUAAUGCUUAAUUUGGAACAACUACAACAAAACCUAAGAAGCACACUGAUAAAGUUGGAGUGAGUUUUAUAGUAAUCAAGCUAUAAAAAUAGGGGGUUUUUAAAUCUUCAUAUUCAUAUAAAUCAAAUAUUCAUUCAUAUGAAUCUUUAGAUUAUAAUCAACUAAACAUAAAAUACGAAUUCCCCAUUUAGUGUUAAUUAAGAUCCUUGUGUGUAAUGGGAAAUUUUGGAUGUUUGAAAUCACAGCAUUUCUGCUACCUACAAAGAGACUGUAACAUGAUUCAGUGCCUUAACAACAAACAUAUAAAACAAACUCCUAACAACUGCACUUCAGAAUUGUACCUAAUUUCUUUCCAGCCGAGCAAUAAUCUCUGAGAAUGUACCCAUUUAAGUAGUAAAAUUACACUGGAUGAAUGUCAAAGAUCAUCUCCCGUCCGUUCUGAGAACAUUUGCAGUUACUGUGGCAGAGGUGUGGGUUUUGUGGCUUGGUUAGUUUUUGUUCCUUUUUUUUUUCUUUGUUUCUUGGUUUUAUUUAAUAUCUGAAGGUGCCAUGUGGUGCCCUGCUGCUUUUAUUUGUUGCUGGUGGUAUUUGGUAUUGGUUUUUUUUUCCUUAAGCUAUGCCCAUGAAAAGCUAUGAUUCUGUGUUGCCAUAAUGCCUGUCGAAAGCUUUGUGAUGACUUUAGGUCAAAUUUUAUUUUCUGAUAGGUGAUGGUGUGGUUAUUGUUUUUCUUUGGGCAUGGGCCAAACCACGCAGAUGGCAUACUAGGACGAGCCUGUGGUAAGUACACCAAGAGUUGACAUUUGUCACUUGCUGCUACCAGGAGGCAAAAAAUGGUGUUCACAAGGCACUCGUGAGAGCAUGAUCAUGUGCUUAAACAAAGCAUUUACCAAAGAAGUAUGCAAUUUUCUGAUGUGGUUGCUUCUUUCAAUAGCCUCUUCCUGUCAUGAUGCUGAUAAGUCCAUAGUCAACACUGUCACUCCUUUUGUAACAUUUUUAUAAGCUCCCUUCCACUUCAGCAUUAGGAGACUCAGCUCUACGCUCUCCAGGUAUUCCCACUUGGUUCAUAACGUCUCUCGUCAUUCUCCCGUAAUGGUAAGAAACUGUUCAUUACUUCGGAUCAAACUGUGCCUUUUAGGCUGGUUAUAGCACCGUGAAUGGUACUCCAGUGGCUUAUUUGAUUGAUGAGUUGUAAUAACUGCUUUUGGAUCCCUUUGUUGUGACAAUAGUUCUUCAGCUUCAUCCAUGUAUAAUAAAUAGCCUAACAAACACAUUAUUUCAUUUCUUUAUUAAGUCAUUAAUUACACUGCAAGUUCUUUAACUGCAUCAGAAGAGUUUCUGGAUAAAACCAACUUACUUAUUGUCACCAUUGUUGAAUGCACUACUCUUACAUGGACGACUUAGAUGCAAAUCUAUACAUAACAGAACCUGCCCAACACCAACACAAUCUUUUCACUUAACACUUAUAGUCAAAUCACAUUUUACCUAACCUGGAACCAUGUGUUUGUUUUGGUUAUAGCAAGAUCAAAAUGUUCUUUUAAAUGCCGUCCUCGUGGAUUAAGAGAGAACAUAUGGGCCACACAAUGAAAUAACACAAAAGCUGUAAUUCCUUAAAAAUGGAUGAAUCCCAAGAUUUUCCUGGGUUUCAGUCAGUUUUUUUCUCUUUGAAAAAAAAAAGUAGAGAAUACAGACAGUACAAACACAGAACAGCUGUUUACAUUUAAACAUAUGCCAUUCAGCUAGUCAAAAAAUUAUUCAGACACCAACAUUUCAAAGGCAUAUUACUGACAUAUGGUAUCUGACAUGUUUCCACAACUGACUACACUGGCUUUGAUGACAACCAUGAAAAUCACAUCUUUCCAUGUGAGCAGUUAGAGAAACAGGCAAAUGAAGACUUAGCUCGGGGUUUUGUAUUCUUACUGAUUCUAAAGGACUGCAAGAACCAAGGUAAGUCUUCUGGCUUUUCAAAACGUAGGCCUCAUUUGCUACAACCAUUGCAUACCCUGUUCCUCACCUCACCAUGAGACCCCACAAACAGCAGAGCAGAACUGCUGCUGCUAUUGAGCUGUUCUCCCAGAGGCAGGCAAAGAGACUCAAUUAGACACAACAGGCUAUUCCCAGGGCUAGUCUCCAAAAUGACAGCUUGAGAUCCUUGGCAUAUGGCUUGCGGUUUCACACACAGUAUAUGCAGGGUUGCUAUUCUGUUAUAGGAAAACUAGGUAUUAAAGCCUAUUGUGGAGCUCAGUCAGGUUAAGACAGGGCUAGAUACUGAAGUAUUCCAGUCCUCUCAGGACCUGAGGAUCUCUCAGUGCAAAAAGGUUCCCGGGUGCUUUGCAGGCCAGAAUCUUAAGCACCAACUUGGAGGCUGACAAGGAAUCCCUCACCCCUCUAACUCAUAUGUGGGCGUAGAAGGGGUAAUUGAGAUUUUUGCUUUAGAAACCACUGCCCAGAUUUUGUUUACAUUCUCAGGGGGGCAGUUGCUCAGCUCAGAGCCUAUCAGAGCAACUAUAAAAUAAGCAAAGGCCAUACUGAAAUUUACACAGACACCAGCUGAGAAGGCCAGGCUGUUGACAGACUGCUGUGCCAGCAUAUAUAAAUAAACAAACAAUUCAUUUAAAAAAAACCAAGCAUCUGCAUAAAACAAAAUUAGUGCAAUUGAACUCCCUUUUCCCACCACUUAAUUUGCUUGUCCUAAAUAAGUAUUUUUCUCUAUUAAAUAGUAACAUACUCCUCCACGGGGAUGUGCCUGAAUCUAGCAGUUCAUUCAUCAUUUUGGGUCUCAAACACCAAUCAGCUGAGGAGUGUUUCCCCGUGACUGCACUAAAUUAGGAAAAUUUCCAAAGCAUUAUUCUUUCUCUGGCCAUUUUCAGAGUCUAAUCCAGUACCCUUGCUGGUCCCACUGAUGCCUGGACAAGGCUGGCAGCUCAUAGCUGGCCCACAUCCAAGCACACCGGAGCACAGCAAGCAAGCUGCCCUCCCCCUGUAGGGACAUGAGGACUGUAGCUCAACUCGAGGUGCUGAAGACAGGCAGCACGCUAACUGGCAUUCAGUGUAAAAACACCAACAAUUGCAAUCGAACCUGCAGUUCACUUGUUGUUUUCUGUACUUGAAGUCCCAAGCUUUCUAAGUAAAAAUACUGUUAGCAUGCAUAGAAUUUCCAUGGUUUAGUUUAUCAGCCUGUGUUCUCUCUGGUGUAGAAAAGGAAGAAGAAGGGCCGUAUAUUUUCUUUUAGUCACCAGUUGGUCCUCCUUUAAGGACCUUGUAAGACAUUUUUUUUGUGUAUUGUUUCUCUGCAUAUGUGGGCAGCUUUACUACUUCAUCCCCCUCAGGACCACUUAACAACAUCAGCAAAGCAAUUAAGUGUAGUUUUCAGGAAAAUGCCAGAGGCAUUACACUGUCUGGAUGGGAGUCUCAACCCAAUUAUUUUCAGCUAGUUGUGAACUGUGGAAAGUGGACUUUACUUCAUUAUAACUUCAGUUCCCACUGAUUAAAAGUCUAGUGUGUUACAGACAGUAAGGAAAAAUGAAAACAAUUAAACUUUCCGUCAAUAAAAUGGCUGCAUAUUCUUCAACACAGGGGUUUACUUCUCUCCAGAGAAGUGAUUAAAAUGAACUGAUUGAACUAUAAUUUGAUUGACUGAAGAGCCUCGAUCCAUUGCACUAAAGCUUAAAUUCCAUCUUAUUGCUCUAUUUAACUCUGAAUAUAAAAAAAAAUUACUGGCAGUCUCACAAACCUUACACAGUCAUCCAGCUGAAAUUUCGUGCUACUCACAGGCUGUGGUGGAUUCUGUUCCUUCUCUGCAUGAUUCACAACAGGCUGAUGUUGAAGAGUGGCAAAGACACCUAAGAAAUGACAUUAAUAUAGCUUUAAAAUCGUGUACCUAUCACAGUCAUUUGGGGAUUCUAAACUCAACCAGAGAUAGAGUUGAUCCAAGACCACGAAAGAGAAUAAUGUUCAGGUUGUAUACAACUGUUGCAGCAAGAAAAUAACCUCCUCAUGAAAACCACAGCCACGAUGUGGCUUCCCACCACAGGUCUGCCUUCAGCAAGGUGUGAGGUUGCCAGAUGCACAGGUUUGCAUGCACACAAACAUACAUACGCCUCUUUCCUUCAAGGAGAUACUAAAGAAAGAGGCACAUUUAGCCUGGUUUCAAUGGUAAAUUGUGCUGGCUAAGAAUCAAGAUGCCAAGGUUCCCAGGCAAACAUCGUUUUCUUUGGACUUGGGGCAAAUUUCUACAGAGUGCUUAUUCUACAAGACUAUCAUCUCUACAGAUGAGUAGCUGUCCUGCCAAAUUCUGGGACUCCUGUUGCACUAACAAAAGCUAGUCAAGAAACAUUAAGACAUGCACGCUUUCAUUGACAAGCUACUAUGAUACAGAAAAUACCCAACUUUGCAUUCACCCCUCUGAAAAUUUAAUUGAAAUGACAUUCCCCUUUAGAAGGUUGCCACUUUAUUGUUUGACAUUUUAUUUCUCUAUUUCCACUUAGUAUUUUGAACUAAACACAGCAUUUGAAAUACAGCUGUACUGCAGUAGAAUUGAAUUGGAAUAUAUUAUAGCUUUAAAUUAAAUUAUGUUGGUAAUUAAUUGAAUGAGGCUGAGCAAGAUGGGAAAAUAAAGGUGGGCAACAAGCUCUGGGUUAAAUUCUUAACAUGCUUCCUUUCACAGGCAGCUCAAACUCCAAAGGAAGUCAAUAGGUACUUUUCCAUUAACAUCACCAUGAACUGAGACAUGUGAUCCUUGAGCUGUAGUAUUUGUUACUGAGCUCAGUCUGCUGUUGAGCUUUCCACGUCUGGCUGUGACAGACCUACAAUGCUAGCUUCACAAGCAAGCCGUAGAUCUAAUGCAAACAGCUCCAACCCUUAGAUACUGCCAAUCCCCUCCCUACAGGAAUUCUAACCACACUCAAGGGUUACUAAUUCACUAUGUUGUUUGGUUUUAUUGCUUAAGCAUAGUUCAUAUCACAAACAGGAAAUUCUCCAUAUUUGUUAGCCAAAAGCUACCAAGACUGUACUGGAGUCACUAAGGGAAUAUUGCUGCACUAAGGUAGAAUGCAGCCUCUGUCUAACUUAGAAGGUACACUUUUGACAAAUUAUGUAACUUACCUCUUAAUAACUGCCUUGCAUUGCUGGCCUCUUCUUUUGUUUCUCCCUUCAUUUUGAUUACCAAAUACUGUGUUCUUCUCUACUUCACCUCAGUAUCUGUAACUCCAAAUGACAGAUACGCCAUAACAGAAAAGGAGACAAGGGCAAACACUCAACCAGAAAUUCCUAGGUGCCUCUGGAGACUGCAGGAUGUUCGCUACAUUCCCUGUUCCCAGUUUUAUGUUGCACACACCAGAGGUACAUACAGGACCAAACAGCCUAAAUGCCUAUUUGAACCUUUCAGUUCUUACAUAGACAGAUAUAUUCUCGCAAUUACAAACCCACCUUUGUCUGCAUAACAGCCUCAGAAGAAGGAGCUGUGUUUGAAGUCAUUUAUAUUUUAUUUUUGUGCAGAACAAGAAACAUAUUUGACAGCAAAAAGACAAGCCCCAAGAGUGAAAGUAGCCUCAAGACUUCUCUUAUUCUGAAAUUAGACAGUGGCAUUUAUUUGUCUUUCAUAGUGCUCCUACAGCCAUGGCAGCAAACAGCGCAUGGGAAGGGUUUCUUACCGUGCUGACAGAAUGGUCAUGAGUAAGCUGAGCAGUGUGCAAACAGUGUCGAGAUGAGGGCAGGCCAGGGCCUUCUUCCAAGUCCUACCUGUGGGAGGCAGAUGAGGGACGAACAGGCAUUUCCUGACUCAAGCAAUUGCUUAAUAUAUCCCCCUCCCUGAAAAGCAUCAGCAACUGUUUGGACAGGAACUGCCAACACUUCCACCAGAUCGCACUGGACAUCAGGGAAAAAAAAAAGAAUGGGUCCAAUGGGGUCGAUACACUUUCUGCAUGUGUGGGAUCAGCAUUUUCUCUUUUCAAAAUCAAGUUGAUUUCAAAAAUCUGUAACUAGGAAAAUAUAUUAAAAAUGCAUUAGCCCGUAGAUUAAUGUUUGAAAGAUACCAUUUUAAUUACAGAGAGGUCAUAAUUCUCAGCUUUUGAGAAAAGGUGAUUAGUGCAAUUUCUUCAUUGAGUUAUAGUUUCACUACUUAAGAAAACAUUAUUUAAAGGGCAGAGUGUUAGCCAUUUACGCCGCACUGAUGAGAAUCCCAACAAAACAUAAGCAAACACUUGAAUACACUCUUCCUAGCAACCAAGGUCUUUCAUCAGAAAAGCAGCAUAUUUUUUGUUGGUUUUUGUGUGUGUGUUUUUUUUUUCCCUGAACAUUAUAUUGAGUCCAAUUUCUAGCUUGCAAUCCUUCAGCCAUCCAAUAUUCAUCAAAUCCCUGGAAUAGAGUUUUCGGUGAAGAUGUAAGCCAUUGACAAAGCCACCUCCCUGUUCAUGUGCUAAAAAAAUUAAUUGAACUUUUAUUUUUUCAAAAUCCAUAUCUGAAUGCUUGUCACCACUACUUCUGUGUGCCACUAUGGCAGGGAGGCCAUAUUUUCAGAAUUCUGUGCAUCCCUGACUUCCACUAUCAGAAAUACUGGGAGGUUAAUUUUCACUAUUAAUCUUCUUCACAUGCACCGACCUGCUGUGUGACUUCCUUAAAUUAACAGCAGCAUUUUAAGAAAUGCUGAAUUUCUACAAUUCUGACUGAGUAGAAAAUAGAGAUAUCGAAUACUUCCCUGGACUUUGGUCCGUCUUUACAGGCUGGGAUAGCUUUGAUGUUACUCAAGAAAUGGUUGUUUUGGAUCUCUGAAGUACUUCACUGGAUGCUGGAGAUCCAAUAAAACAAAACAAAAAACCCAAACCAGAGCUUUUAAGUUAAAUAUUAAGUAAAAAUAAGUGUACGUUGGUAAAGAAAGACAAAGACAUUUUGAAAGGGUUUUUCCACCAGGCAGUACCACUUAUUCCAUGAUAUAUCACCUCUUUUCUCCUAAGAAAAGAACUGUUUCAAACAGAAUUUUCUGCUUCCGUAUAUUCCUUCUUUUCUUACCUGAGGGUUUUUACUCCUUUCUUUCUUUCUUGUAGGAAGGAGACCAAUGGUUUUGUUGCCAACUCUUCGAGAAAAUCAGAGGAGCGACUGGGAAAUCUGUCUUCCAUGGAAAAGAGGAAAGAUGCUAAGGGACAGGAUGUACCCUCCUUGACAGUGUGGUCAAACAGCCAGCUUCCUCACUUGUCCCUAAAGAGCUCUCAGACAACUGUCUAGAAAAGUGCACAGUAUCCCCAGCUGUUAACAGCAGGAUAUACUGCAGCACUCCAGACUGCUGCUGCCAUGUCGUUUCAGUGCCUCCGGGGUCAGCUCAGUGUAUUAAAUUAACAGUUUUCCCAGGCAAUGCAAAAUGUCUGUGAACAGAAUGGUGCAGCAUAAUAAUGGGAUACAAGGGGAAGAUACCUGCUUAAAUAUGAAAUGUUUUGGUAAGAGCAGGAGACGUUGAAGUGGUUCUGACUUACAUGACUUAGUGCCAAACACACGUUGUCAUGCAGCAGUCCCAGCACGCUGUGUGUCUGUUCACCACCACUUCACAUUUUCAUAGCUUAUUUUAGAACAGUUGCAUUUUUUUUUCCAUCCUUAAUAAUUUAUGCGCUUAGAAUUAUCAAUAACGUGAAGCUUCAUUAUAAACUAUCUGGAGGAUUCUCAUCUGACUCGUCCCAUUAAAUUAUUAUUCCCAAACAUGAUUUAUAUUUAAUAAGACAUCAAUUGAACAUCAGUAAAAAUAAUAAUUAAUGAACUAUAUCUUCAUAGAAAUAUCAAUAGCUUAAAGACAAGCAAAUGCUGUGUACGGUCUGCAGGUCAGCUGUCAAACCUCUCUGAGAAUAUUUGUCUGUUUAGUAUUUAGAAUAUGAUAGUAAACCACACAGAUAUUUAAUUGCUGUGGUCUUCAGCUGAUUCUUGUGACAACUGUGGACCACGCCAAACCAUGAACCUGUAAGGCAGAACUGGGAAGUAACAAAGUGUUCUGUGUAGGUGAGGAGGUAAUCUCAAAACACUACAAAUGCCCAAGCAACUUCACGUUUCCACAAACAAAAUGUCAGAAGAAUUUUGGUUUGGGUAACUUUUUUUCUUUAACAUGAUCUACUGGAUUGAAAUGCUCUAUUUCUCCAUACAGAAAGUCAAAAUAAACAAUUUUACUGAUUGAAACUUCUGCCUAAAAACACAUUAAAAUAGCCUAAAGUUCAACAGUGUCGUUUGAGUCUUCUGUUCUAACAAACUAUUGCUCCACAGGACAAACUUCAUCAAAUAUUUGUAUUCAGAAAGAAGUGACAUUACUUCAUCCCAGGGAAUUGCAGCAAAGGCCCUUAAUCCUACUGCACCUUAUAGCAUUGCAGUAGUGGUUAUCACUCAUCAGGGACCACUUCUGUUUACAUUUCCUCAGCUUACACACAUCCCACAUGAGUCUUAAUGGAGGAGGAGAAAGGACAGGAGAAAAAGUUUUUCUGGAUUUUCUUCUUCAUUUCUAGUUUUUAUUUCUUACUUUCCUGUUCUGUUCAAAUUUCAUCAGGGAUUGAACAAAAGCUUCAGAUGGACAAGGUGACCACAUUGUCAGUAUCACACUUACCUUUGUCCAGGUUCAUUGGGAAGCAUUUACUCCCUGCUCCCUCAGACCCUCACUUAUGUAGGAUUUACACAAGGGCUUUGAUUGCACAUUCUGGAAGAAAGCCAAAAGACGUUACUGUCCUUCAGUGACAGCUUGAUGGUUUUUAAUAUUCGUUGGAUCUCCUUUUCAUCCACUGCACAUGCCUUUUUUAACUGCUCACGUCCACGAUUUGGCUUCUCCAUUACACAACCAAGGAUUAUAAGGGCAGCUGUCCUCUAAUGUAAAACACGAGUUGACGCAAACAUUGCAGUCUCAUUUAAAACUUUAAAGCCCCUUGAGCUUGAGAUACUUACAGCUCUACAGAGAUGUGCUAUUCAAACCCCAGCACAGAGAGGUUUCAGUUUAACUUUCUUAAAACGUUAAGAGCUGAUGGAACCAUAAAGACAUUCUGGUCUGACCUCCUACAUCGUGUUUUUACUCAGUCGCUUCCAUCUCGAUCCCCCCAACAUACUGAGACAAAUACACCUUUCUGAAAGGCUUGAUAUCUUAAUCUGCACCUGAAAAAUCUAUUACUCUACCACCAGUUCACACUAGCAUUAUUACCUCACACUCCAAAGCACAAUUGAGAAGCCCAGUUUUGUCACUCCCACCCCCAGCCAAUGAUUUUUACCUUUUCUCUGCUGCUCAGUGCUUUGGUAUUCCCUAUCUUGGUGCCAUGAGGGAGCUAGACACAUCGGAGGUUGUAGCAUUUCUACCACCCAGAAACAUGCAAGCAAUAGCAUGCAUACAUGAAGGUCUCUAGUAUGUCUUCUUACCUUGAAGGACUCACCAGAAUCCAGAGCCAGGUAUAUCUGCUGUGCUCUCCUCCUGACCUGGUCCAAGUCCAUUCCUUCCUGAGACACUCUCGCAGGGAAAUGAUGAAAAGUUUAACAUGGAAAGAACAUGCCCAUAGCUGUGAGGGACAGCUCUAUUUUUAAAGCAACGAGCUCACCACAUAUUCCAUUUUCUCUCACUUAAUCACACAACUUUUAAAAUGAUAAUUUAUUUUUUUUUUUCUGAACACAUCCAUUCUGGACUAGUUUCACCACCCUCAUUCGACAAAAUGCACGCUAAUUUUAAUGGAUGUUUUUCUUGAGUAAGAACGAAUACCACCUUUGGUUUCUGAGCCUUCUUUACAACAGAUUUGGCGAAAGUCAAAAUAAACAACAUCCAGCAAUUCACCUUUAGGUAGUGCAAAAACAGUCCCCAGAGUGACAGCUUUCAGUUCAUCUCCAGUGAGAGCUGUAUAAGCCGUAAGCUCUUCUAUAAACACAGCAAUGAAUAACGAUCAGUCUCUUACUCCUCUCAGUCUCUCGUGUGACAGACCCUUAAUUAUGGCUAUUAGAUUAUUAUUUUCUCCAGAGAAUCCUAUAAGGCAAAAGCAGUGUUCUUCUCUGGACAUCAAAGACAGAAUUAAGACACUGCUUAGGAAAGCUCCUCAGAAACAGCAGCUGUUCAUCCCCACUAAGGAAUGCCCUAUUUGAGACAGAGUGCGCAGCUGCAGCUUCACUGUCUGCUCUGUAUGAGGCACCCUGCAAAAACUGAUGCUCCGCUUUGAAGGGAAAGAUGCCCACCUAAAACACAGGGCAGCCCACCUCCUGCUAAGCUCUGAAAAACUAUUCAGAUUUCUGUUACCUUAGACCUCUGUAUCCUACAAAGAUCACCCAUUCUCAAUAAGUCCUGGACCAGUGAGGCUUGCAACACAACAGUACAAAAGCAGUAGCACAAAUUAUGACUGUGUAACAGAAAAGUGAACUAGAAUCCACCCACCUAAGGCACUGUACCACCAGCAUCUGUUACUGCACAUAUCUUUUUAUGUGUAACAUUUAUUGGCAUCCUUCGGGGAUAACUCUGCAUGCUCCUACAGUCAACUAGGAAGAAUGUCUGUCCCCCAAGAGAGAACAACAGGCCAGAAUCAAGACUCAGGCUGACUCCAAGCAACAAAUGAUUCCCGAACACUUUAUACAUAGGUAACACGAAUCAAUUCUUAAAUAGUCAUUACUAGAAAACUAAUGUAACUGCCUCUCAAGAGAAUUACUGCUUAAUACUAUUAUCUUCUGUGGGCAUGUAAAGCAAGAUAAGUAUAUAGAGCAGGUGAGAAUAUAUAUAUUAUGAUAACUUAUGUGGUUUAGGCUUGUUUUGGAAUACUGUAGCAACUUAUUGCUAGCCAACAUCUUACAUCAGUAAGAAUGUAGAAAGUAAUGUCUGGCAAUUUAUCAGUUCUUAAUAAAGCACAGUGUUUAGAAGUUUAACUGUUGAAGAUGUUCUUGAUUUUGAUUCAUCUGAUUUUUGUCUGGGCUCAGCACUAUGGCUAAUCCCUGUUUCCCUGGCUCCUUCAGGGUCUGACAGUUCCAAAUUCUUACUUGAUUGGACUUAAAAAAUAAAUAAAUAAAAAUUAGGAACUGCUUAAGCAGCACUGCCCCUAUCCGUCCCCAGCCCGUGUGUGAAAUUAGCAUUGGUUCAAAACACUGGAAAUUCACACGUGCACACUUAAAGCACAGGUUCCAGGAUGGACAUUGCACCACCUGUGAAUUCCCCAACCUAAAUGCAUACUGUCACUCACUUAAGUGAAACCCAAGUAGCCUGUAUGUGCCAAGCAGGUGAAGUAUUUUCAUAUAAACACGUUUGUAGAGGUAGGUUCUUUCAGAGUUUCACAGACACGUGGUUACUAAGCACAAGAUAAGUAAAUUUAAAACAACUCUGCCAAAAAUUAAACUGGUUCCACACCUAUAAUAAUUACUUUGAUGCUUCUGAGGCAUGACUGCAUUUGAAGCAGAAUAUAUUAUACCACACAUCACAGUUGUCCAGAGCUGUCAUAAGCCAUUAAGAUAUACAAAGUCACGAUCCUCAGUUACACCCUUAGACAAUGGGUAACACUUCUUUGUGAAUGCUUCUCUGUCCAAGUAUCUCUUGCUUGCAUGCAUCAGAUGCUCUGUGAGAUACAUCCCUCAGCUGUGGCAGCUCAGCACCUUUCCACCAAUUUAAGUCAGCUGAUUGGGAUUGCUAAAGAUAGCUCUCAUGUCAUACUGAGCUCUCAAAAGUGUUCUGAAAUGGGACAUUUAAACUAUUUACCACAAUUCUUGUUGCAGUUUAAAAGCUGCACAAUGUUUUUGAAGCUUUGUGAUUCCAGAAAUCCAGUGUCUAAAUGAAGGUCUGCUGGGAAAAAAAAAAAUAGCUGAUUUGUCACAAAAAAAAAAUCAAUCUUCCACUGCCCAAUUCCGUUCUUAAUGAAUGAGACAAUUCAGAAACCUAUGGGAACAUGCUUUAUUGAUUCAUUCACAAGUCACUCAAACCCACUGCCUCGGUUCCCUCCGAUAAGACAAACCGCACAGCGCUCCUGGUGUACUGAAUUGCAGGAAAAGCCAAUGACUCCACAGCUGUUCUGCUGGAAGUCCAGUGAGACUAAACACAGCCAAUAAAUCUAAACGCAGCACACCACUAGGUUAAUGAUAAAUGUGUGUAGAAGACAAAGAGACUUGCAUUUCCUCUUUAUUAUCCCUUCAGUUGAGCCACUGCCUUAUCUGUAAUUUAUUUACCCAGGACAGUUGGGCCCAGAUGCGUACCUGUUUUUCCACUGAAGUACUUGUUUUUCUCCAUUUUGCAGAUGGAUUAAAUAAGCCAGGAGGAGGCCAACCUACAUGUGUGAGGUCACACAGAGAACUGUAAUCUACACUGCAGUAGAUGCCUGAAUCCAUUCAAGUUCAAGACCUAAUUUGGCAUAAAGCUAGUGUGUAGCUGUACUGCACUGUAUAUUUUAUAAACAUAUCUUUCAAUAAUCUCCUGUGCUUCUCAUGAAAGCAAUAACAAGCAGUAAGAACAGCUGAGUCUGUAUUGGGCAAGCUUUCCUAUUAAAUUCCAGCAAUACAUCUCAGCUGUGACCUGUAGCAAUUUGGGUAACCUAAUAAGGCUGACUGUCCCAUAAGAACCAGGGAUGAUACGCUGUCUACCCGCAAGAUAUGAGGAAGUACAAGAGAGCAACUUUACAGCAAGUAUCACCUAGCAGAGCAAAAGUGAACCUAAAAAACAGAUCUAAGAAAAUACAGUAAGAGACAACACAUAUGUGAGAAUAGACCAUUUGUUUAUAUAGUCCAAUAGAUACUUACCACCGUUUCAACAUUCAUUUCCAACUCAAAACAUCACAUCUGCAUGUCCUGUUUAACAGAGUAUGCUACAUGGGGAUGUCAUGAAGGACCUUCUGGUAACUACAGUUAGUACAACUACUCCAGUGCACGUUACCUGAAGUUGGGCAUUCUGUCAGAUUCGCCCACCUUUUCCUAGAAAUCCAAAAGGUCUUCUGCCUUACGAUGCAAUAGCAUUUAAAGGACUGCUCUUAAAAUCAUUCUAAUAUAUAUGCUACCUUUACAUGUGCAUUUAAUAAGUGGGCACAGAUCCAGUCAGGCAUACGCAAGUCUCUACUUCAAAACUCACCUCUUCAGCUGUAUUAUGAUUUCCAUCCCCUAGUAGUUCUAGUACAAACUUUUGCACAGAAUGGCUUCAGAAAGUGGUCUCUGCUCUCAUGUAUCUGCUGGAUAUAUAAAGCAACAAGCAAUUUAGUGGUGUACAGGAGAAUUAAACAUUUUUUAUGCACUUCAAUGUUUCCCCUAAUUCUGAAAAUCAACCAAAACCUUCAACAUAAAAAUCACUGUUCCUUUAGAGAUGUCUCUCAGCAGGGCGGUGCUCACAGCCACAUUGUCACUGUGUGUUCAAAGCCGUCAGCACUCAACGUGCUAAGAAGCGACACUGAAUUCUGCAAUCAGAAGCACAAAGUUUCAAAAAGAUUUCAGAAUCUAUGUGAAUAUAAAUAGCUGCACUGAAUGCUUCAAAGGCCGAAAACGUCGUAGAGAUUUACGCUUCAGUCUGUUUUGACAGAUAAACAGACAAAAACAUAUUUCGUAAAGGAGCAAUAAGACUUCCACUGUAACACUUCCCAUAAUUAGACCGUAAGAGACACUGAAAUACUUACAUUCACUGUAUAGAAGGCUUAUGUCUCACUUCUGCUUACUACUUGAGCUCCUGAAAAGCACCCAAUUGUCUAACCUUAACAUGUAUUAACGUGAGCCCCAAGCUUUCUGCACAUGUUCAUACCCACCAUUUAUACCAUCAUCUUCCCCACCCUGCUGACUUCUUAUUGUUUAGUGGAAAUAUUCACAUUUUCCAAAGGUUUUUUUUUUCUUCUGAAGCAGAACCUGAUGUUGCUUAAUGCUCAGUGUUAAGCAUUAAUACACACAUCAAACUAAAAACGUUGAUAAAACCUUCCACUGGAAGGAAAUGCAAUUGGAAAGAUGCUUUUUCUAACGGCGCUUCCUGUCCUUCGCUCCAAAUGACUGAAGAUCUUUUUAUUGUUCUGUGUUCUCUCUUUAGUGUGGCACGAUUUGAGUUCCAAAUCCCCCAAGAGUUCUGUGACCAACCUCCUGUGAGUUUCUGGGAUGUAAAGGUCAGAGCUGAAGACGGCAUGGACAGAGUGUACAGAAGAAAAGUCUCAGAACCUCUUGCUUCAAAUCCAUCACUUUCAGAGAGAAAAAACAGACAGCAAAGCACUCCUCUUUUAGAGGCAAAUCAGCCAUGGUGGGAACCUCUCAAACAACUGAGAACAACUGAAAACGGGCACUCCUGAAAUCAAGGAGAGAGGAUGGCUUUCCCAGAGAACUUCUGCACGGAGAUCUGGCUUCUGAAUUUCUUGGAUUCCUUAAAUGAAAAUCUUACACUGGGAAUUCCAAACAAUACAGCCUGUAACGUUUGGCUAGCAUACAGCACUCAGUGCAACCCCCCGGGCCGUGUUCCUGGACUCGUCCCAUCCCCACACUACAAAGAUGUCUUUCCUCAGCCAGCUCUGCUGCCAGCCAAGUUCCUGACAAGGUGUUGGUGCUCUGGUCUGAACAUUGGUUAAUCUUCCCCAUGCUGGCUGGCUCCGUUGGUCUUAAAGAAGCACCAUCCAAUCUCAAUCCCAGUGUUCCUUAACUGCUUCAUUCCCUUUCACAUUUUCUAUUUUUUAUAAUCACUUCUUAGGAACAACUGUAAUACUACUAGCUAGUGGAACAGGUGUCGUUACUAAUAAAGCCUGUAAGAAGGAAAACCAGUGUCCCACCAAACAUAUGUAGAGGAUGCACCUUCCAACAUUAAAGCUCUGAUUUGCAACCUGAAAGAAUUCUCUACUGCUUUUGUACAACGUGCUUAAGUUUUACCUUAUUUGUUGUUGUUGUCUGCUAAUCAAGGUCUUCCAUGGUACAAAUGUGAUCACCAUUAUGCUAAUCGCUGCAUUAGACAUGCAAAUAUAUAAACAUUUGUGUGCCAAAUCAUUAAGUUUUUGUCUAUAGUGUUAUGCCCCUAUUUACUAUCUAUAUUUUAUGUCUUAUGGAUUUCCAAACAUUUAAAUUUAUAUCAGUGCUGUCACAUAUCUGCAAGCAGAGACAGUUUUAUGAGCACUAAAAAAGCUGCAACACACAGCCACUAAAUACUAAUGACAUAAAUGGUAUCCACUAAUGGUCUCUAUUUUUAUUACAAUGCAAAACUUCAAUAUAUUGCAAUUACCACCACUCUCAGACUGAGCCAUACACGGCAUAUAAUGCCAGCUUCCAUCUCCACAGCAUAAAAUGGCAUUAUUUGUUGCAUAUAGUUCAGCCCUGUAUUGCAGAUGUUGACUGAACGCUCAAGUCAGCAGUUGCAGCUAAAAUUCACUCUAUUUACAGAGUCUCACUGUUAACUAAUACCCUAAAUUGUCAGAUAUGCCAAUGCAUUAGACAUUUUUCAAAGCCUACUGCACUAAUAGCAUGUAAGCGUAGCACGUCUUGUUGUACCUGUCAGCAGCCCAGUAACUUUGCAAAGGUAAAACAUGUCAAAGAAUGAAAUUAUCUUCCUAUGCUUCUGUCUUUAAAAAUCUUCAGCGAGAGAUUUUUUUCAACAUAUUCCAAUACAAAAGUGCACUUGACAAAGCUUAUUCUCUUGUAAAUGAGUCUCUGUUUUAGCUUUUUAAUGAUAAAUGUUACAGUCUUUGUUCAUAAUUAGAAGAGUUUCUCCUUUUGCAGCAGCUUUCAAAGAGAGAAAAAUUUGUUCUUCAGACUUCAAGACAGUGGAAACCACACCUCAAUGUCAUCCAUAAAACUGGGUGAAAAAGGAACGUGGCAAAAUCUCUUACAAAUGGUUGGGAGGAAACAAAUCUCAUUUCAUCUACACAUUUUACUUGCCAGAAAUUUUCACCAAAAUGGAGUGCUAAGUUCAUUUCUCAGGCCUUCUCGUACCUGUUUAUCUGACACAAAACAAGCCUACUUACUCCUUUCCAUUGACUUCAGCUGAGAAUAACCUCCAGAAGGCUGGAAAUUUGUUUGAAGCAGCAGACAUUCCUCCUAUUUCCAUGCAGCUGGGUACUCUUUUACACAAGGAAAACACCGGAGACAAAGUAGGUGUCAGACUUGGUAGCAUUUUACAUGCAUUUUCUGACACAAAGCAGACAACAGAAACGUGCACACAAAAUAUUUCCCUUCAAGGACCAGCCAGUGAGAACAACAAAACCCAGCAAAAGACAUCAGCGUAGUUAUUAUAGUUACCAUAUAUUUCCAAAUGAUGCUUGCCUUUAAAAAUGCAAUGGAAUUAUUACUGUUAACUUUAACCAUGAUAAACCACUCCACUGGAAGUUAGUAUUUUCCUAAAGUGUUCUCACUGGGCUUGCAUAAAUCUAAGCAUACAUGGCUGACUAUGGAAGAAUGAAUGAUGCAAAAUCCAUAAAAUAAUAAUACCUAGAGCUUACAACUGAGAAUACUGAUAUGGUAUUCCCUAUUUUUCCCAUCAUAUUUUCACUGGCAAUAGUAUUGAAUAUGACAAGUGCUUUCUAAUGUAAUCUGAACCCACCUCAGUGCUCUAAUCUUUAGACCGAAUGGGUUCCUAUCAAUGAUCCCAGUUAACUGCCUCUGUUCUGCACUUACAACAAUAAAAAGUCCCAACUGAAAGUUCAGUGACAGUUUAAUUUCAGAAAACAGGAUUUCUCAAAAGAGCAAAUACAUUGAUUUAAGUGAUUGGAUGAAAAUACAGUUUUUCAGUAUAAGUAUAUACAUACUUUAAUUCAUUUUCUCAACCAGAAUUGAAAAUCAUGGCUCAUUUUCUCAAUUCCAAAUGUCGGUUCUCUUCAUUUGUAAUCCUCCCAACGUACCGUAGAAGUUGAAACAGCCUGACUGACUUCAGUAACAUCAAAAUGGAGAAUUUAAGUAUGUGAAAAGCAUUUCAUUUUCUAAUGAAUUCUUGCUUUCUCUUAAGGAAAUUGCUGGGUAAAUAUAACCCAUUUUGAGGUGUAUUUUUGGACAUUAUAAAAUGCUGUCUUUCACAGACUCUGUUGUUCACUGAAGUUCUACCUCCCUGCUUAACAAUUACUUUGCACAAAAGGAGAAAGCUCUUUUAUGAACACCAUGGACAAAAUCUGAAGCAUACCAGCUUGAAAGAAAACGUUGACUAAGUUUCUAAUUUAAUGCCUCCCAUACAAAAGAAGCAAUAGACCACAGAUCUGCUAAUGCCAAACCAACAAGAGCCUUACCCACUUUUUUGUUGCUUUCCAUUUCCCCCCCCUUAAGUUGGAGUUCACAGGUUUGCCAGUACAGCUCUCCAUGCAGCAAGGCCUGGAGCCAUCCCCCCAUUAGGGAACAUGGCACUUGGAUCCCUCGCUCUCCACCUGGCUGCACACAGUGCUCCUUUGCUGAAAUGACGACAAAGAACCUACAGAAACCAACAAGAGCCCUUCUUACACUUCACUGGAUGGUCAAUCGAGGCCAACAUGAAAAGCCUCUUGCCUCUCUCUCCCUUACUUGCCUCCAAUACUGGGCUACAGAUCGUUUUCUUUUCACGUGUAAAGGCAUCAACUACCUGAAGAAGUGCAUUCUAGGAAAGUCAGUUGCCCACAUUCACAUGCCCUCCAAAGGCAAUGUAGAAUAUUUACACUUAAGGGAACAGCUUCUAAGGUUUCUCCUUCUUAACACAAUUCAAUAAAACAGCUAUACUAUAAUGUCUGGAAGGUUUAGACUUUUGUCUUGUAACCCUGCAGAUGAAUAGCUCCAACCUUUGAAAGAAAUUGCAGUAUGAACGUCUGUUUUAUUCCAGAGUUGUGUCUGAGCAGACUAUUAGCAGAAUACUGAUAAAUGCUACAAUAGCUAUUCUUUUUCCUCCCCUUCUGCUUUUAUGCCACUGCCAAUACCUGUCCUUCCCUGGUGCUUUCAGCUGAUGCCUGUCUCAUAACUCUCCAGCUAACAUCAUUAGAAGAAAAAGAAAUUAAGCUCGAAUAAAACUGCCAGGUAGAAUUCAACAUUAUGAGAUUAUGGACCAAACUGUUCUCUGAAGCAGGCACAUAUACGCACAGCUACACCACUAAUGACCUACAAAGGACUUACAUGUCAAAAGUUAAUCAUUAUAAGACUAUUUUUCUUUUUUAAGGAUAAACAUAUUGAAGCCGAUUAUUUUUCCUCUGCUGGUACUUCUACGGUGUUCAAUGGCAAGCAAUAAUUAACUUUGUUUUCUCUAUACCUUUUCUGAGGUCCAUGUUUGUAGCCUCCUACACUGCACCACGUCUGCAUACAGUCAAUGGGUAGGAUCAAAUCAUGCAAAACAUGCAUGUGGUCAGCAGGAUGUUUAAGCAGGCAGCCUUGGGCACACAGCUACAUCUGCACAAUUCUAAAUGCUUGUACUUUUGUAGUAAGUUCGCAAACAUAAGGAGCUGCUAUAGCACAACUGUCCCGUGAGUAACAAUAAAUCACUGAAGUGAUGGAGAAGAACACUCAGUAUAAAGACUACAUCAUAUUUAUGAAGAAAUUCAAAAUGUAAUUGCAAGCCAUGCAAGUAAGAAAAGAUGAGUACUCGGUUGUAAUGCCAACUUAAAAUAGCAGUAUAGAAUUGUUUAUGUGCCUUUGUGAAACAAAUGGGAGAAGCCUAACACAUCACAGGAAAGUUACUCGUGCUAUAAUUUAUGCCAUAUAUUCAUCUUCAAACCACAGCCAUGUAUUUCUCCGCAGCAACUGCUAUCACCAUCAGAAACAAUCAGCACCUUAUACGGCUCUUUCAAGGCAGCUGAACAACAAAGUGUCACAGAGAAGAAAUAAGGUUCUUGCUCCCAGAAGUAACAUCAUUUGAGAGUUUAAAGGAAGCACCUAUAUUCCAGAGCAGCUCAAAGGCUGUAACUCAUGUUCCGUUUUAGUAAAAAAAUACGUAGUUUGUAUUGCUCUUACAGAAUUAGGGUUAGUAAAAAUAAUGCAUGUAAUGAGAGAAACAAAAUCUUUUUUGUCAUAGAAAUCUAAAUAUAUUUGGGAAGGAUCAGAAACUUCUAGAUAUUUGUCCAAUCCAACACAGCAACAUUUUGUUUGGAAGGCUCUAACGUGGCCAUAGUGACCAUAACAGGUCUACUGGGUAAUAAGUUGACUUGCAAAAUGGAACGUAUGAAUAACCAAUGUUUGCUCAUUGCCGAAAGCAGCACCGGCAGAAUGGUGAAGAUGAGCAAUGUUGGGAAAAUGUUGUAAUAAAAUUAACAGCAGAACUCUGAGUACAGUGUGUGUGAAUGGAGGUGCUGAGCAGGAGACCCAAGGAGAAGAUGGAGUAGGUGGCAAUUUCUAAGCACACUGAGCACACUAAGUCAGCUGUGGCUCUGUUGGUUGGAAGCCUGGGCACCAACAGACCUCAGAGGAAAUCCCACGUAUCGGCCCACCAAAAGAAAUCCGACCAGUGGGGAUUUCAGUGCACAAAGGGCUGUAAUAGCAUUAAAAUGCUAUUACAAGACUGAACAAGAACUAGCAGUGCUAAUGGCUGAACGUCAGCGAAUGCCAGAAGCGCUGGAAAUUAGAAGGGUGCAGUAGUUGUAGUGAAGCAGAUAUCAAGAGAUGAAAGGAAAUCCAAGCAGACCAGGGAAGGCAGAGAGAACUGACAAAUAUACAUAAAGCAGCGGCUGAUGGAAAAAUGGGAGUGGCUGUGAGGACAGAAGAAAUAAGAAGUCAGAACAUUUUCAGGUGAUUUCUAUAAGGUGAUUUGGAAAUAUGUCCUGAUAUCCAUAAAAAGCAAGGAUUUAUCUUCAACUAUUUUCUCUUAUUUUCACCAAUGCACAGUUCCAAGGACUGCCAGUUUUGGAGAUCACACGCACAUCAGUUUUCCAACACAGAAAAACAUUAUUUUCUCACCUUUACUGAAGAACAAGAGGUAUACCUAUGUAAAUUCAGUCUGAUUCACUUAAUUCCUUACCUGUCAUCACAUCAAGUAUCUAAAAGAUACGGAGCAUGCUCUCUGUAGCACAACUACCUCAAAGAAUGAGCAGAGCAAACAGACCUGCUGAAGUUGCACCAAGGUAAGUUUAGGUUGGACGUUAGGAAACACUUCUUUACAGAAAGGGUGGUUAAGCACCGGAAUAGGCUCCCCAGGGAGGUGGUUGAGUCACCAUCCCUGGAUGUGUUUAAGAGCCGUUUGGAUGUGGUGCUCAGAGAUAUGAUUUAGCAGAGGGUUGUCAGAGUUAGGGUACUAUGGUUAGGCUGCGGUUGGACUUGAUGAUUAUGAUUCUAUGAGGUACAUGAACACCCUUUAUGACUGCACAGUCACCUAGAAACUGUGAGAACUUUAAACCUGCUCUCUUCACUUCCUCCCUGCCUGCUCUGUGGAAGCACGUGCAGAGAUGGAAAUGGCUGCUAAGCAGCACUAAGUGAGAACGCUCCUUCCUCUCAAGUUCUGUCACCAGAACUGCCCCCUCCACACAUCCAUCUCCUCUUUGUGGUGGCUAACGCCAAUAUGCUCUCACUUUCCAAACUGAAAACAGCUCAUGAGGAUCUUAGAACAUCGGCAGCAGUGACUCACAAUCUCACACAGCGCUUGUUGAAUGCCCUGGUUACCAGAUACGACCUCAGGAAAACCUCCAGUUGAUUUUCUCAUCCUGUCUUGCUCGUAAUCAUGCUGCAGAAACAGCAUUUGAGUCUCUCUGCUUCCCACCUUUAAAACUAUGGGCCAAGAGAACAAGCCACCGCUGAGCCAGUGAAGCUCCGAGAGCCCACUAGCUGGCAUCUGCUUACUUUCUGUAGUCAGUCUUUCCAACCUGCAACCACAGCUAACAGGAGAUUCCCUGCUCAUGGCAGCCUUCACCAGGUAUCUUUUUCCACUGCUCCUUCAUAUUAACCAUAAACUCCAAAUAUCCGAGGUGUCUAACUACAGGAAUGAAUCAGAAUAGACUUUAAAGGCAUCUGUAACGUGAAGGUUAAGAGCUAGGGAUUUCUUCACGUAGCCAAGCACUAAGCAGUAAGAAACUAAAUUAAAUGCAAUAGUAAAGCAGAGCUGAACUUUCAUAUGCACCCCCUGCACUUGAUACGUCUCUCCUUCGUAAUGAAGACAGUGCUCAAAGACAUAAAACCUAACUAGCUGGUAUAAACUAACUUUACAUAAGCAGUUAUGACCUAAACAAAGUUGGAAGAGUACACAGCCUCUGGGCACUCUUGCCCCAGUAAGACAUUCCGAGUUUAAAUUUAGAUUUUUAUUGCCCUUGGAAUGCUGAGAUAAACUUUUAGUCCCACCGGUGCAACUCCAGGAAGAGACUAUAUUAAAUUUUGCUGUUCGUGAGGGAGAGAGCCUUCCUUCUAUUCAUUACCAGGCAUGCAAGCCAGGUAAUAAAGCUGAGCUGUUUUUAUCGUAUACAAUGUGCACCUUAUUACGGCUAGCAGAACCACGCAGGAGCAGUUGCCAUUACCAGGUGGUAUCCCAUCAGCUGGGAAUUACACCAGGGGUCUGUGGGGCCGGGAACACAGACCUGCACACACUGGGGCCUCUCAGGGCGCGUUCAGACUGCGUUCUCUGCUUCCCAGCCCUGAGACAGCGACCCCCAAUUCCACUGCUUCUGUGGAAGAGCACUGGGAAGGAACCGAAACAUGAAUGAAUCAGCCCACUGAGGUGGCACUGCGGCAAUACAACAGCCAAAUUAAACACCUGGGCUUUGGAAAGACAAACCAAGGAUCUGCUUAUCUGACAUGGAAGAAAGGUCUCGAAUGCCCUAAUAUUAGUAACAUGCAUUAGUCUUAAGUGCCUAAUAUUUCACUAGCAAAAGAAAAUAAGGAGUUACUGCUAGGUCCAAGUAAAUCUGAAUCAGGAAUAACCUGAAAUACCGAUCCAAUCACAAAUCCAGUUUCAUCUGUGGUUUCAGCCAACCGGGAACACAAAGCAGCAGCCUUUGUCUCACCAGCUGCAAGGAAAGAUGCGUUCACUUCAUCACAUCUCGAGUCUUUUUAAACCAGAAGCAGCGCUCCUUAUUUCAGCUGUAACAACCCAUAACGCUGCACAGUCCUUAGGCAGAAUGUUUAAGGAAACAGUUUUAUUAUGCAAUGAAGCAGUGAUUCCCACACACGAGAACUGAUGCAAAUUAUCAUUUCAGUCAACGAAAUAAACUCAAAAAGCAACAUGCUCGAAGUUACACAGAUUCUAAUAACCUGAAAACAGUUUUCGGGGCAAACAAUGGAGUCAUCCCUGUGACAAAAGAAACAAAUGCUGUGUAAUUCCUGGCUGUAAUUGUCAUUAUCUCAUUGAUGUCCAAAAAUCUCACGCAGUUCUGCUUUUACUUCAAGCAGACCAUUCUCAGCCUGCCAGGCACUGUGCUCAUGCCACAGGCUGAUGCUCUCCACUGGCAGCAGAAGCAUUUCCCUUCUGGGGAAACAGAAGUCACCCAGAUCUUGAUCCUGCUAAUAGCAGCUGGAGCUGGUAGGAAACACAGUGCUAAGAAUGGAGCACGCAGCACCUUAUGGAUGCCGUUCUCUAUGUCAUUAUUUGCUUUCCAAGUGGUAUGGAAAUGAAGCCCCACGGUUUUAAUCACGUUCCAUUAAAGGAGAAGAGGCGCUGCCAUCUCACCUCUGACACAUUUACUAACUCUAAAGGAGAACCUGGGCUUUAUUUUGUCCACAUUUUGACCGAAGGAGAUUUUUUUAAGAUUUAUAGUUUGGACUUCUGUUAUCUGAAGGCAGAGGAGGUUUGAUGAGAAAGCCGCAGGGCUGUUUGUUUAUUUUUUAAACACUGUCUCCUUAAUAUAGUCCAACUGACUGUGCUCCUCUGAUCCCCUUUACCCAGAGGAAAGUUUGUGAUUAUUUUUUUUCCCCUUUCUUCACACAAUAUAAAUCAGAAUUCCUUAACAUUCCCUACCUCUUCAGCUCCCAACCCACCCAGAACUGGCUUCGACGAGCUUCCCUUUUGCUGCUUUGGGGGACCUCCUCCAUCUUCUGGCUUCACUUUUGAGUCUUUCCAAAGUUGUUUUCUCCCAGAAUAGCUCUGAUUUGUGAUUCUGAUUCGUGUUGCUCACUCCGGCCCUUCCUCCCCUUCUACGUGUUAUGAAGUUAAAUUGUGCUUUUGAUUUCAUUAAGUUGGUUUUUUCUCGUAACUCCUGCAGCUGCCUCUUCUGCUUUUACAGAUAUUGAUAACAUUAUGAAUUACAUUAUACUGUGCAGAAAUAAAGCUCAAAUAAUUGAAACUCACUGCCACUUUCUUCCAGUUUCUGCAAAGGGUUGAGACUCCCUGGGAAUUUAUUUAAAACUCUCCUUUAAUCCUCCUGCAGGAGUGAUGUUUCCUUUCAGAAAAGGAGGACACUGCUCCAGCCAGAAGAAAUGACAUAGCAUGAGGAAAAGAGGAAAAAAGUCCUGAGUCAUGAAAGCAAAGGGAAAAAAAACGCAGCUGAAAUAGAAUUGAGAGACGAUAAAACUCCACAAACUGCAAGGGACAGAAAAGUAGGAUGGAGCUCUAAUUGAAAGGAAAUUGAGGACUGACUCUACAUAAGAACCAGGCACAUCAAGAAGGAGCAGGAAUUUGGCCAAGGGAGAGCUGAACUACAGAACAACUCUCACCUUCCAGCUCUGCUCAUUAUCCACCCUCCGUCUUCUGUUCCCACUGAGAACGUGGGACCCUUCUGACAAAACGUGCUCCGGCCGCAGCCAGUCCAGGAGCUCAGCAGCAGAGCCUCUGGCACAGGAGUUGCCCUAAGGUCAAAACAGCACUGCCAGGGUGUAGUGAUGGAUCUGUGCCGUCCUCCGGAGCUGGGGCAAGCACCCGAACUCCAAGGGACAUCAGUCACUUCUUGUUCCCACAUCGUGGAGAAAAGGGAAGAACUGUACAGAAAGUUUGCAAGCUGACACAGUUUGUGAAUAAGUGCUUCCCUUCGUUCCUGGUACCCUGAAAGUCUGACUGCUGCAGAAGGAAAAAAAAAAACCCUCUGCUAAGAGCUAAGCACACUGCAGCUGUCUUUCAGACAUCAGAAUGCCUAAUACAGUCAUCAGUAACUAACCACCAUCCAAGAUCACAGACCACAGCCUGCUUGCCUCAACUGCGUGCAGUCUAGCUGACUCCCUACAGACCUUUUGUCAAUUAGAGAAGCUUUC
ensembl:lncRNA